CUGCGCCUUGCCAGCCCGCUCAGAAACUCACAGGAAUUGACGGGGGCCCGCACAAGCGGAGGAGCAUGUGGUUUAAUUCGAUGAUACGCGAGGAACCUUACCUGGGCUUAAAUGCUUAAUGACGUACUGGGAAACUGGUAUUUCUUCGGACAUUUUGCAAGGUGCUGCAUGGUUGUCGUCAGCUCGUGCCGUGAGGUGUCGGGUUAAGCCCCAUAACGAGCGCAACCCCUAUUGUUAGUUGCCAUCAGGUCAUGCUGGGGACUCUAACAAAACUGCCCGCGUAAGCGUGGAGGAAGGUGGGGAUGACGUCAAAUCAGCACGGCCCUUACGUCCAGGGCUACACACGUGCUACAAUGGCCGGUACAGAGGGCAGCCACUUGGUGACAAGGAGCAAAUCUCAAAAGCCGGUCUCAGUUCGGAUCGGAGUCUGCAACUCGACUCCGUGAAGUUGGAUUCGCUAGUAAUCGUAGAUCAGCAAUGCUACGGUGAAUACGUUCCCGGGCCUU
rnacentral:rRNA from 1 species